UACGUAGGGGGCUAGCGUUGUCCGGAAUCAUUGGGCGUAAAGAGCGUGUAGGCGGCCCGGUAAGUCCGCUGUGAAAGUCGGGGGCUCAACCCUCGAAAGCCGGUGGAUACUGUCGGGCUAGAGUGCGGAAGAGGCGAGUGGAAUUCCUGGUGUAGCGGUGAAAUGCGCAGAUAUCGGGAAGAACACCCGUGGCGAAGGCGGUUCUCUGGGACGGUACUGACGCUGAGACGCGAAAGCGUGGGGAGCGAACAGG
rnacentral:rRNA from 1 species